rnacentral:rRNA from 1 species
GCAUCUAAGCGUGAAGCCCCCCUCAAGAUGAGAUUUCCCAGUAAGUAAGACCCCUUGAAGACGACGAGGUAGAUAGGUUCGGGGUGGAAGCACGGCAACGUGUGGAGCUGACGAAUACUAAUCGGUCGAGGGCUUAUCCAU